GCCCGCAAGCACUCAUCUCUGCCGCUGAAAGUUUAUGUGGACCGACUGCGUUACAACAAGAUUACCGAUCAAUUGAACCAUAGUAGGUCUUCCUGGGCGGAUACGUAAUUCAUCCACUGAUCAACAAAAAACCUCCAAUUUUGCCCUGAAUAAGAAGGAACACAACGGAAAGGCGAGUAACAUUCCUGCUCUACUCCGACGGUGGAUACGUUGAUAUUACGUACUCGACCCUCUUCGAUUUCUACUUGUAUAAGACAAAGACUUCGAGUAGCACAAGCUUCAGUACAUAACAUAACUGUUAUGUCAUAUUGCGGUAGUUGAACAAAAGAGAAGUGUGUCGAUACACAUAUUUAAGACUUCACUAUCAUCGACGCUCUGUUGAAGUUGAGGACUGGACAACUCAACCUGGUUCUCCAUGCGAAGCGGUGUUGAGCGAACAUGUGAUCUCAAAGAUGACACUUCUCAGCCAAGAAGCAAAUAAUGCACAGCAAUAACCAUCACACUACUACAUCUUGCACAAUUACAUAAACUAUAGAUGGAUAACAGUGUUGAAAUCAAGAUCGGUCCCAGGAAAUUGAGAUGUGCAGCAAGUAUGCGAACCCAAUCGUACUGCAUUUGUGUGUCCUUCACCCAGAAAAUUGCUGUACCGCUAAAACUUCUUUACGGUCAAUACAAUAACGAAGAUUCGGUCCGGGUCACUCACGUUACGAGCAAUGGCUGGCAGCAUGAGGACCAGUAGUUGACCGAGCAAAAUUACACCUUCCACAUUUCCGCACUGUGUGCUACUUUCAGGCAAAUGCUGAAGCAGGCUGGUGCGGUGAUCGGGCCCAAAAUACUGAUGUCAUAUGUAGCAGGAUUGAAGCAAACGGACCAGAUACAAUGUUCCAGUAACCGAUCUCAAUAUCGACGUACCUCAAAAGGAUCUGCUACGCUCGCAUUUUAGUUUCGCCUAAAAUUAACAUAAGCUCCGCAUGGAUGUGUUCAGCUAUUUCCUAACGAUAACC